AUGACGUCAAGUCAUCAUGGCCCUUACGGCCGUGGGCUACACACGUGCUACAAUGGUCGGUAACAAAGGGUUGCCAAGCCGCGAGGUGGAGCUAAUCCCAUAAAACCGAUCGUAGUCCGGAUCGCAGUCUGCAACUCGACUGCGUGAAGUCGGAAUCGCUAGUAAUCGUGAAUCAGAAUGUCACGGUGAAUACGUUCCCGGGCCUU
rnacentral:rRNA from 1 species